ACAGAAAAGUAUGAGGAGUAUCCAGAGUUCUCCUGGGUCCUGGAUGUGGUCGCCCGAUGUGAUCGAGCUGCAGCGUGAUGGCUGCGUCACAGACGAAGGCGGCUGCGGUUUCUGCCUCAAAGCCUGCUGGGACAGGAAGCGUGUCAGUGGGGGUGGGCGGGGAAAUCGAGGUCAGGCGGUGCUGGAGGUAAGGAUGUACGAUCAGGUGUGGCCUCACAAUCGGUGUGAGAAAACAGAUCAGACGCCUAAAUAUGAAACGUGUGCAGCCGGUGGCACCGCCGCAGUUUUCACGUCACAGAGAUGAGGCCAAAAAUCCGACCUCAGGUGCGUCUGCAGGUGGACACGCCAACAGCUGCACCAGGAGACCCAAAUCAUCUGUGCACUUUCACUUGUUACAGCAAAUAUUAACGAUCAAAGAAAUCUGUUUCACAUUUCACGGCUCUGUUUUUCACCAACAGCCAAACUCAGCUUUUCAUGAGACGUGAACAGAAAGAAUGAAGGACUCCGUGAUCGUGGGCUGUUCUUGUUAGUGUGGAGCAGCUCAAACUUGUAUUUGUGUGAUUUACUAAUUUAUUAUAUCUGCUGUUGACUGUUAAACAUCUCCAUUUAUUUUUAUUUCUGUCUGAUAAUAUCUUUACUGUCACGGGUGAAUUUCAGAUUCUGAAGCAUGAAUGAAAGUCCAGCUCGAAAUGAAAACAGACUUUAGUUCUUCUGCUGUUGUGAUGUCAGAACCUCCUCAGUCGGUGUCACAGGAUCAGAAAUAUUUAUUGUUUCUUUUUUUAAAUUCAUUUUCAAACAUAUGACGAAGCUGCUCCGAUGGAGUCCGACCUUCUCUCAGUUCAGUAUUCAGUGAAAUGCACAUGAGUACAGAUAAUUACUGUGAACACACGUGUACAUUUAUGAUGAUGUUACAACAUGUUAGAAAAUGAAAAUAAAGAAUGCAGUCUUGUGAAUUUUCAGUGCUCAGGGUUUACUGUACCAGGUUAGGUCAGCACUCAUACUGUGUCAGAAACAGGAAACACUUUUCAGGCCAAAGUAAAAGUUUUGCUCCUAAAUCUUCACUAAAAUCCAAACGUUUCAGUAAAAUUUUGCAUAAAUGAAGCUCUUUGUCUUAUUUGGAUAUUUUUCUGUGUUUUGGCCACAGAUGUUUGAGCAGCUUUAAUAAUCACAGCUUAUCUUUGAUGUUAGAAGCUCCACUUUAUAUUAUAUUUGACAUUUUAUUAGAAGGUAAAUAAACAUAAUUCAUGUUUAAAAAACACCUAAAUUAUGGUCAUAAAUAGAAAAUCUAUAUAGUUUCAGUUUCUAAUCCUUUUACUGAGUAAUAUUGGACUUUUAUAACUGGCUGGGCCUUUAAAAUGCAUCAUCUAGCGACGUUACAAAGUUUUAUUUUUAAUAAAGCGUCUGCUUGUUUUAUUUCUUUAAUGUACAAAUAUGUCAGUUAGUCUGAUGAGAAGUUUCAUUAACUAGGACACAUGUUCAGUUUAUUUGUAUUUGUUUCUGUAAUUAUCUGAAAUUAUUUCAUCGCUUCCUUGACUUUGUGUUCAGAUGGUGAAUUUUCCUGAUUCUGCACAUGUAGCUUUGAAAUUAAAAUGAAUUUAGAUAAUGCUUCAAAAAAACCUGAUAAAUUAGAGUCCAUAUGCAUUUGAAGAAGGCUGACAAGUUGUGAGCGACACUUUAGGAGGAUGUUUGAGUUCAUGUGAGAUUUCUGUUUUAUGCACAGCAGCAGUCAGAUCAGUGAGAAGUGCUGAACUGUUUGAUGUCUCGACCAACAGACACAGAAAAAUGCUUCAGGGAUUAUUUUUGUGUUACUUUGUGUAUUUUAUUAGGACUUCCUGUUUCAUCGUGUGUUACACACUGCAGCGGAGCCUCCAUGUUCCCUCAUUGAUAUUAUGAACCCGAUCAGAGCCGUCUGCUGGAAUCUGACCUGCUUCAUGUUUUCUGUGUUUGAGUUUGAAGAAACACAACUUGAUUUAGUAAAAAGCUCCACACAGAAAAUGAACCAACAAAUGUUUCAGACUGGAAGAACUGGUCCCAGAAGAACUGGUCCCAGACGUCACCCUGGGUGCUGCUGGAGGCCCUGCAUGUUUGGAGACCUGGUUCACUCUGGUGUUUCUCUGUUGUCCACUGUCAUCACACAUCUUUCAGUUUCACUCAUCAUUUCAUCAUUGCAUUUGUCCAGUGUGACAUCACUGUCCUUGUGUGUCCUUUGCUUUGUUCUAGAGUCCCUGCAGAUGUUUACAGAUGUCACCAUCAUCGUCCUCAUUAUGAAGAGUGUGACCUUGUUUUUGUGUGUCAGAGACGUGGCUGUAACCACACGAACAUCACCGUGUCUGUUUGUUGGUGGGUUUUAUUUGUUGUUUUUGCAGCUUCACCGCUGACAGGAAGCCAGCAGCAGCAGGGCAGAGCGAGGAAGCGGCGCUGCAGCGGUGGGAGGCUCUGAGGUCGCCUCACAACCUGACAAACAUCCGGCAGCAGACGCGGAAGAAGAAAAACCCGACCUCAGAAUGUUUCCAACACACGUGGUGGAAAAAAGCUGCAGCUGAAGCAGCCUGCACACUUUCAGGAACUUUGUGCCUCUCAAGAAAUAAAAAUAUGUCCAUUUAGAGUCAUUAUAAUACAGGCAAAUAUGCAUUAUGUAUAAUACAUUAGAAUACAGCAACAUCGCUUUCUUCAGUGUGGCAGCAGAGCUCAAGUCUUUUACAGUCACAUGUGUUCUGAUCUGUGCAUCACAUGUUUAUCUGCUGAUUGUUGAGUUAAAGCUUCCACAUAUAAACACUGAAGGAGACAAACAGUAACAACAUGUUAAUAACUGGAUUCAAAAACUCUGAAGAAGCAUCUUCAGGUUUGUGCUGAGAGCAGCAGACGAGACUGAAAGGAACAGAUAAUGUUUGCAGACUGACAGCUGAGCAUGCGUGUAAAACGUGAUCAUUACUGCUCAAACACUGAAUCUGCUGCACAGUUUUUCUCAGACAGAAGAGCCUCACUGAGCUCCAACGGUGUUAUUUCACCUGAUCUGGACCUCAGCUGGUGUUGGGCUGAGUCUGUGUGCAGACCAGAGAGAACGGCAUCAACCAAACCAGGAAACACAGGAAAGAGCCAGAGGUCAGUGCUGAGUGCUGUCAACAUGCUGUGAUCUUUAUUAUUAUAUUGUUUUCAUAUUUGGACUUUACAUGCAGAAUGUAGCGACCAAUCAGGUGCGACUCUCAUCGCUGAUGGAAGCAGAGCAGGAAGCUCGGACGCAACAUGUGAUUGCACACGCUCAGAGUUCUUCCACAUCAAACUGGAAAAGUGUUUCUUUGUUCACGUCUUUAUUAGUGCUGAGUGUGAACAGUGUGACAAACACAUAGUGACUCAUGCAGUCGUUUGGAGCUUUGGUACAAACUCUGUUUGAGCGCGUUGUGAUGUGCGCAGGAACAAACACAGACCGAUGUGUGUGUCUGUCAGCGACCGCUGAAUGUUGCUGCGCAUGUUCACCUAAAACUGUCACUUUGGCUGGAACAGCAAAACUAUUACAGAUAAAGUUAUUGUGAAGCAAUCGAGUCUGGAAAUGUUCCCAUUUAUUAAACCGUCCACAGACAGAUUUACCAAAACAUGCAGUGGGCCGACUCUGGGCCUCUGGCCUUAUGUUUGACACCACACAUUAAAAACUUUAGAAGCAUUUAUGAAGCCUGAACCGUGAAAUAAAUGAAACAUUUAAUUAAUCUUCUGACAUAAAGAAAAUAUAUAAAUAUAUGACAGACGAGACGUGAUGGUUAAACAUGGAAAUAAAUCGACUUCAGUGUUUAUAGCUGAUAUUUAUGCAGCACUUAUUAUUUUUUUCAGAUUCAAAAACAAAAAGAUGAUACAUUAAUAAUACAUUCAUGUAUCUAUUCAUUACGAAUAACUGGAGGAGUGUGUGUCUGUAUGGACUGGUUUGCUGUGACGGAGCUGUGGGGAUUUUUGGGUGGAGGCUUUAAGGUCAUGUUUUUGUUGCUUAAUGUGAGAAACAGUCAAACACCAACGUGUGAGACCAACAGCUCAGUAAAGACUCACAGUUUAAAGAUUAGUCAUGGUUGGAUUAUGGCGGCACAGACGAGCAAACAUGGUUUCAGUCUGAGCUUCUUUUUCAUUCUGACUGAAAGAGUCAGAAGUGAAACUGUCUCUGUGGAACAAACUCUGUGGAACAAACUCCACAACGACAAGUGUGUAAAAAUCUAGAGUUAGACGUGAUUCAAAGCAACAGCUUGUUCUGCUGGUCUGAAUGUUGGACAUCAGAGAACUGAUGAUUAGUUUAUGAUUAUAACAACAUUAAUGCAUCAUUAGUCUGUAAACCUUACACAGUAUCUAUGUUACGGCUGUUUAUUGCAGCAUAGAUCUAAUAUCAUAUUUCUUCACAUGAUUUUGCACUGAGAGCCUGACUGUCUACACUGCAGCUGCAGCAGUGCUGUGAGGGUCCUGUAGGUGGCGCAGUGCUUUGCCUGUUGGGUGGAGCACCAGCACCAUCGUGUGGCCCUUAUAUAAACUGCAACACAAAGUCAGCUCUGAACAAACGUUUCUUUGCGGUGACGUAAUAAAGUCAUUCAGCAGUAACUAGACGAGGACAUGUUGAGAGACACAUUUAUCAGCUUCGUCUCACAGCUUGGAUCAAAACGCCUUUAAAAUCAUUUCAGUAUUAAAGCUGCUCCUUUCAACGUCCCAGUUUCAUUUCCAGGUGGUGUUUUUAUUUAUUUUUAAAAAAAUGAAAUUAUGAGACGCAGUUUCAAAGUGCAUCAAAGCGUUCUGAGUUUGGACAUGAAGACAGGACACAGACGUGGUUAAUGACAACACCUCACACACUUGCUACAGUUCCUGCAGCCACACAGAUCUCACUGAUGCUCUGCUGGAGUCUUCUCUAACACUGGAUGCAUUUAUAAGGACAACAACAUCCUGCCUAAAAUAAACUAAUGCAGGUGAACAACAAUUUUGAGGAGCGUAUCAGGUCACAUUUCACUGCCUGUUGUACUCGUAUAACUAUGCACGUGACAAAUAAACAAUCUUGAAACUUGAAUUUUUGUUGUCAUGUUUUGGAAUUAGUUCUGCUGUUUCCAUCAUUUCCUUUCUGUUUUUUGUUAGUCUUCUUCACUUGUUCUCAGCCGGUCCCUCGCUCUGGACACUCGCCAGUUUCCUCCUGUCUCUGUUCUUUGUUCUCACACAGGUCCUGAUGUCCACUGUGGAGCCUUCUCAGUGAUUUUGUGGUGUAAGUUUGUGUUUGCUGUCUUGAUGCAUGUUCAAUCCUCCAGGUAUGGAAAUCCCAGAAAGUUGAUUCUGUUCAUGUGGACGUAGAGAAACAUUUCAUCACUUAUCCAAGUGACUCCUUCAGUCUGCAGGUUGGAUGUUACAUAUUUAUGAUCAUGAAACUGACCUGACUGUUAGUCAGAGGUGCUUGUGUCAGUCCUGAUGUAAAUGUGCUGUUAAUAAGGUUGGAGAGCUGCAGGCAGCUGAGGCUGAAGUUGGAUGAAGGAUGAAACGUUGGUCCAUCCAGACCAACAGAAUCACAUUUCUGGAGUUUGUGUUUGAUGGUUUCUGUUUUUCUGUUGUUUCUAUUGUUGCUAGUUUAUUCUCUUUGUUGCUGAACUUUGCCUGAUUUUAUUUUAUGUCUUUAUUUGCAAUAAACAUUUGUGGACUUUCAGAUUUGAUCUUGAGUUACUUUGAGUUAAUACCUAACAGGAGUAAAUGUAUUUUCUUGAGCGUCUAUUUUAAAACUGUGGUACGUUUUACACUAAAUUUGAAGCUUUAUUGUCAUUCAGCUGUUUGACCUGAUGUGACUGUAAGACAGUUUUUAGGUGAUGAUAUUUGCAGCCUGCCAUGAAUCAACAGGUCAAACAGCUGAAUGAAGUAGAAUAAAUAUAAAAAUUAAUAUUAAAAACAAAAUACAGAAAUAUAUUGAUAUAAAUAACAGAUGUGUGCUGUGUGUCAGUCUGGGUGGUGUUGCAUUAAUGUAGUGCAGCCUCCUCCUGGAGGCCAGGCGAGUAAACAGUACAUGUGCAGGGUGGGGGAGGAGGUAGGAUACAGGUGGCUCUUUCUCUGCACCUGACGGUGUAGAUGUCCCUGAUGGACGUUAAGCUGCACCUGAUAGUCCUCUGCAGACUUUACGAACCCCCAACCCCCUCAGUGCAGCUGUAGAAGGACCCGAGGACACCAACAUCCAGUCCAGCGCUGUUCAGCCUCCUCAGGAAACAGAGGUGGUGGUCGACUUCUUUAUAAGACUCGUGAUGUUGAUGCAGGUGAUGGUGUUAGUCAGGUGAACCCGAGGUACCUGACAGAGGAGCUGCUCCAUCUAUGUCGAGAGGAGGAUUAUACAUUAAAACAUUUUAGCCAUCUUUAAAUUAAGACUUUUACAAACAUGGUGUGUUAGAGUGAAUUGUUAAUGUUUGUCAUUUUUAUGCUUACCAUCCAUUCCUACAUUGUUUAACUGUGGGAUGAAAGCAGUUCCACAGUCCCCCUCCCCAGAUUCUUGAGUUUUUGGGUGAGGGGCUGUAGUCUUUUAUUGUAGAUACAUCCUAUCUGAAAGGUCUGUUUGAUGUAAGCUUCCUGCCCAGCAGGAGGUCUCUCUCUCUCUCUCUCUCUCUCACACACACACACACACACACACACACACACACACACACACACACACACACAUAUAUACAUACAGUGCCUCGUCUUUGUAACCAAGGGGGGUUAAGAGGGGAGGUACGUGUUGUAAACUAUUGUGUGAACUGUAACAGUUUGUCAAUAAAUAGCUGCGAGGGAAGCUGCUCUUUGAAGGACUUUGGGCUGGAGACAGGUUAGGAGCGUGAGCUCCAAGAGCUGGUUCUUGACCAAAGGCCUCCCUUGCGCAAGUAAUCGAUCGAA